rnacentral:pre_miRNA from 1 species
AAGCCCUUUUUUUUAGCAGUGAGUUAUCUUACUCAGCUACGAUUGAAGGGCUUGC